UACGAGGGGGGCGAGCGUUGUUCGGAAUUAUUGGGCGUAAAGGGUGCGUAGGCGGUUCCGCAAGUCCUGUGUGAAAUCUUCGGGCUCAACUCGAAGUCUGCACGGGAAACUGCGGGGCUUGAGUGUGGGAGAGGUGAGUGGAAUUCCCGGUGUAGCGGUGAAAUUCGUAGAUAUUGGGAAGAACACCGGUGGCGAAGGCGGCUCACUGGCUCAUUUCUGACGCUCAUGCACGACAGCGUGGGGAUCAAACAGG
rnacentral:rRNA from 1 species